UACGUAGGGUGCAAGCGUUGUCCGGAAUUAUUGGGCGUAAAGAGCUCGUAGGCGGUCUGUCGCGUCGGCUGUGAAAACCCGGAGCUCAACUCCGGGCCUGCAGUCGAUACGGGCAAACUGGAGUACUGCAGGGGAGACUGGAAUUCCUGGUGUAGCGGUGAAAUGCGCAGAUAUCAGGAGGAACACCAGUGGCGAAGGCGGCUAUCUGGACGGUUUCUGACGCUAAGACGCGAAAGCGUGGGGAGCAAACAGG
rnacentral:rRNA from 1 species